rnacentral:rRNA from 1 species
UAAUACAUGCAAGUCGAACGGCUCUUCGGAGCAGUGGCGGACGGGUGAGUAACGCGUGGGAACGUGCCCUUUGGUUCGGAACAACACAGGGAAACUUGUGCUAAUACCGAAUGUGCCCUUCGGGGGAAAGAUUUAUCGCCAUUGGAGCGGCCCGCGUUGGAUUAGCUAGUUGGUGGGGUAAAGGCCCACCAAGGCGACGAUCCAUAGCUGGUCUGAGAGGAUGAUCAGCCACACUGGGACUGAGACACGGCCCAGACUCCUACGGGAGGCAGCAGUAGGGAAUCUUGCGCAAUGGGCGAAAGCCUGACGCAGCCAUGCCGCGUGAAUGAUGAAGGUCUUAGGAUUGUAAAAUUCUUUCACCGGGGAAGAUAAUGACGGUACCCGGAGAAGAAGCCCCGGCUAACUUCGUGCCAGCAGCUGCGGUAAUACGAAGGGGGCUAGCGUUGCUCGGAAUUACUGGGCGUAAAGGGCGCGUAGGCGGACAGUUUAGUCAGAGGUGAAAGCCCAGGGCUCAACCUUGGAAUUGCCUUUGAUACUGGCUGUCUUGAGUUCGGGAGAGGUGAGUGGAAUGCCGAGUGUAGAGGUGAAAUUCGUAGAUAUUCGGCGGAACACCAGUGGCGAAGGCGACUCACUGGCCCGAUACUGACGCUGAGGCGCGAAAGCGUGGGGAGCAAACAGG